UUGUCAUGACCAUUGAAUGUUUGGCCCGUUCAUCAGCGAUCAACUUGUAAACACGACGAACAAACUGCUGGCUGUAAAAUAUUGCUGCAUUUUUGAUCACUUGUCAUCCCUGCAUGAUGGACGAUCGGAGCAGAACACGACCGAUCUCAUCGUGGUCAGAUCUCUCCCCCCUACAGUUGCCCCCAAUUCCAGAGGACCCUUCCCGCCUGGCGGUGGAACUUCGCUCGGGAAGAGCUCCACUGGACGGUAGAAUUCCGCAGAACCUGUUGACAACACUUGUGCGACAAGCGAAACGAUCUCGCUUUUUGCCACCGCUAUUUAUUAUGUUCACUACUGCCUUCCAGCGGCAAUUCGAUGGCGGAAAAAAGUGCUGGCCGAGGUGUCGAUAUCGCACAAUGAUUUUAAUGAUGGGAUCGAAACGAACUGAACCGAACCAUAAGCAAAAACAAAAAAACCAGGGGAACGACAAAAAAACAUUGGGACGCGGCCAGUUGCAGCAAAUCGCUGGGAUGCCAAUGCUGAUAAUCAAUAAUUUUUAUAUUUUUGCCACAUCGCUGGGCGGCUUUGCUAGCCAGCUCAAAGGAGAACUCCAAUGGCAGGGAUACUUGCUGUGUCAGCCAGCCAAAGGACAUGACAAUAAUCCUUAAUUACAGCUCUCGCGGAGCCAGCGAAAUUGGAAUCAUAAUUGGAAAUUGGAGUUCACUGAUUGAAACACAAUUGUCGGCGGUUUGUGCUUACUUUACAUUUUAAUGCAGGACGAUGACAUUUUACAAACGAAAAUAAGCUUAAAUUCAUAUACCAUUAACGUUGAAUGGAAUAAU
ensembl:ncRNA lncRNA:CR45329 long non-coding RNA:CR45329